rnacentral:tRNA from 1 species
GGCCUCGUAGCUCAGUUGGCUAGAGCGUUGGUUGUAGUACCGCCUUCCUCUUGCCGGUGUGGUUUCGAAUCCCGCCGAGGCCG